rnacentral:rRNA from 1 species
UCUAGUAUAGCAUUAUACCGUGAAACUGCGAAUGGCUCAUUAAAUCAGUUAUCGUUUAUUUGAUAGUACCUUACUACUUGGAUACCCGUGGUAAUUCUAGAGCUAAUACAUGCUAAAAACCCCGACUUCGGGAGGGGUGUGUUUAUUAGAUAAAAAACCAACGCCCUUCGGGGCUCCUUGGUGAUUCAUGAUAACCUCUCAGAUCGCACGGCCUUGCGCCGGCGACGGUUCAUUCAAAUUUCUGCCCUAUCAACUUUCGAUGGUAAGGUAUUGGCUUACCAUGGUUUCAACGGGUAACGGGGAAUUAGGGUUCGAUUCCGGAGAGUGAGCCUGAGAAACGGCUCACACAUCCAAGGAAGGCAGCAGGCGCGCAAAUUACCCAAUCCCGACACGGGGAGGUAGUGACAAUAAAUACUGAUACAGGGCUCUUUUGGGUCUUGUAAUUGGAAUGAGUACAAUUUAAACCUCUUAACGAGGAACAAUUGGAGGGCAAGUCUGGUGCCAGCAGCCGCGGUAAUUCCAGCUCCAAUAGCGUAUAUUAAAGUUGUUGCAGUUAAAAAGCUCGUAGUUGAAUCUUUGGCCUGGCUGGUGGGUCCGCCUCACCGCGUGCACUUGUCCGGCCGGGCCUUCUCUUCUGGAGAACCGCAUGCCCUUCACUGGGCGUGUUGGGGACCAGGACUUUUACUUUGAAAAAAUUAGAGUGUUCAAAGCAGGCCUUUGCUCGAAUACGUUAGCAUGGAAUAAUAGAAUAGGACGUGCGGUCCUAUUUUGUUGGUUUCUAGGACCGCCGUAAUGAUUAAUAGGGACAGUCGGGGGCAUCAGUAUUCAAUUGUCAGAGGUGAAAUUCUUGGAUUUAUUGAAGACUAACUACUGCGAAAGCAUUUGCCAAGGAUGUUUUCAUUAAUCAGUGAACGAAAGUUAGGGGAUCGAAGACGAUCAGAUACCGUCGUAGUCUUAACCAUAAACUAUGCCGACUAGGGAUCGGGCGGUGUUAUCGAUUUGACCCGCUCGGCACCUUGCGAGAAAUCAAAGUG